rnacentral:lncRNA from 1 species
AAAAUACACAGGAACCAACGACGCUCCUCUUCUCUUCUCCUUCACAUCUCCUACACCUUCACCAAAUCGGGAAAAGCCUAAACCCUAGCCUCCAUAGAUGCGUUAGCCACUGCCACCCAUGCAAUAUUUCUUCCCUUUUCAUCAUCUGCAACCAGUGAUUUCUCUUUGAAUCAGCAGAGCAGUCACCAAAGUGGUGAUACAACGUUCAAAUUUGCAUUAAUGGUCUGGGAAUCAAACGAAUUUGAGAAAAGGAGUCGUCUCUUUCAAUUAUUUUGAAUUUAAAAUUCCUUAUCUCUCUACCCGUUGAUUUCUACGAAUUUUGCAUUUCAAAUCCGGACUUUGGGGUGUGGAUUUUCCUAUAAAUACCGAUAAUUUCAUGCUAUAGAGGAGAAGUUUUUCGGACUUCAAAAAUAGGGGGAAAGAACGUUCAAAAAACCAGUCGAAAGUACUCAUGACAAAAAUCAAGGAAAACUCACAAGAAAUCGGUUAACUUUUAAACUUCCUAUUGUUCACUUGUUUGAUUUUGCUGGCCGGAGAAUCUUGACGUCGAAGUUUCAAUUUGCUGCCCGAAAAAAAGGUGCAAACCUGUCCCCUUUAUUUUAUUUUCACCCUCCCUUCUUUUGUCCCCUCUAAUUCUAUGAAUGUGGGAUUACUGCUGAUUUUGAAGUGAUACUGUUGUUGCUAUGUUUGGGUCUGCACAUAAGAAUUUGGUCCCAUUUUUGAGAUUCUAUUGUUGUGUAUAUAGUCCGUGGGUAUGGAAAUAUAUGAUUUAACUUGGUUUCAAUUUUGGUUGUGGCAUUGUCGAUCGCUAUCUGUGAACCAGACUCAUGAGUAUGGUUGCCUCGUUUUACCAUGAUUCGAUAUAUAUGUUGCUGUUCGUAUGUUGGGCAGAAAGGAAAAUGGGUUGGGUGUCUGUAUCUUCAAGUUUUGGGAGAUGACUGAUUUAAUACUCUGUUGUUUUUUGGUUAGUCCCGCUCGGCUAUAGUCGAUCUCUAUUAACGUAGCUCGAGGGGUCCAAUUUUGUGUUCAAAUAUACACAUUGGUUGCUAGGUUAUGCUGUCCAAUUUUAUUUUUUUUCACAAAUCGAGCGUAAGAAAGCUAUUUUUUUCCUGAUCUUCAUUAUCUUUAAAAUUCGUCGUGUCAUGUUUAAAUUCAUAUAACUUUUGAAAAUCAGCCCUUUUGUUUUACCUCUUUUAUCCUUCUUUUCAUCUAUUCUGAUUUUGGAAUAUUUAAUGUGUUUAGUUUAUGUUGGUGUUGUCGUUUAUUUUUUCACGGAUGGAGUUCAACGAUAUGGUAUUGUCGUUGAUUUUGCUUUGCAUCUAAGUGAGGUUAAUAAUCAUGCGUUGGUCCCAAAAAAAAACGUUUGGAGAUUAUAAAAAACAAGAUUUUGAUCAUAAUAUUUGGUAUCGGUCAUGUGUAUGCGGUUAUAAUUUACCUAGACAUGAUAAACACUUGAUAAAGCUGGACUACCAUUAUUUAUUAAUUAGUCACUUCAAUGCAUUAUCCUUUUAGGUAUCACAUAAUAAGAGACCUUACGUCCACAAAUCGAGUUGGAUUCAAAUAUUCAUUGUCUUUAAAUAAUCUCACAUGUUGGAUUUUCGGCUUGUAUUUCUUCUACUAUAUUGCAUUGUAAAACAAGGUCCUCAAUAUGAUAGAGAAUAUGUGAUAAGUAUAGCAUGGAAACGCGACUGUAG